rnacentral:rRNA from 1 species
GACGAACGCUGGCGGCGUGCCUAAUACAUGCAAGUUGAGCGCUGAAGGUUGGUACUUGUACCAACUGGAUGAGCAGCGAACGGGUGAGUAACGCGUGUGGAAUCUGCCUUUGAUCGGGGGACAACAUUUGGAAACGAAUGCUAAUACCGCAUAAAAACUUUAAACACAAGUUUUAAGUUUGAAAGAUGCAAUUGCAUCACUCAAAGAUGAUCCCGCGUUGUAUUAGCUAGUUGGUGAGGUAAAGCCUCACCAAGGCGAUGAUACAUAGCCGAACUGAGAGGGUGAUAGGCCACACUGGGACUGAGACACGGCCCAAACUCAUACGGAAGGCAGCAGUAGGGAAUCUUCGGCAAUGGACGAAAGUCUGACCGAGCAACGCCGCGUGAGUGAAGAAGGUUUUCGGAUCGUAAAACUCUGUUGGUAGAGAAGAACGUUGGUGAGAGUGGAAAGCUCAUCAAGUGACGGUAACUACCCAGAAAGGGACGGCUAACUACGUG